GGCAACGAGGCUGCAGUGGUGGUGGUGGGACGAUGUCAGGUGAGGACGAGCAGCAGGAGCAAACUAUCGCCGAGGACCUGGUCAUGACCAAGUAUAAGAUGGGGGGUGACAUCGCCAACCGGGUACUUCGGCCUUUGGUGGAAGCAUCCUGCUCAGGUGUGUUGGCACUGAGCCUGUGUGAGAAAGGUGAUGCCAUGAUUAUAGAAGAGACAGGGAAAUUUUUCAAGAAAGAAAAAGAAAUGAAGAAAGUUAUUGCCUUUCCCACCAGCAUUUCAGUAAAUAAUUGUGUAUGUCACUUCUCCCCUUUGAAGAGCAACCAGGACUAUAUUCUCAAGGAAGGUGACUUGGUACAAAUUGACUUUGGGGUCCAUGUGGAUGGCUUCAUCGCUAAUGUGGCUCACGCUUUCAUGGUUGAUGUAGCUCAGGGGACCCAAGAAACAGGGCAGAAAGCAGAUGUCAUUAAGGCAGCUCACCUUUGUGCUGAAGCUGCCCUAUGCCUGGUCAAACCUGGAAACCAGAACACACAAGUGACAGAAGCCUGGAACAAAGUUUCCCACUCGUUUAAUUGCACACCAAUAGAAUGCAUGUUGUCACAUCAAUUGAAGCAGCAUGUCAUCGAUGGAGAGAAAACCAUUAUCCAGAAUCCCACAGACCAGCAGAAUAAGGGCCAUGAAAAAGCUGAAUUUGAAGUACAUGAAGUAUAUGCUGUGCAUGUUCUUAUCAGCUGAGGAGAGGGCAAGGCCAAGGAUGCAGGAGAGAGAACCACCAUUUACAAAUAAGACUCUUCUAAACAGUAUGUCCUGAAAACAAAAACUUCGCAUGCCUUCUUUAGUGAAGUUGAAAGGCGUUUUGAUGCCAUGCCAUUUAUUUUAAGAGCAUUUGAAGAUGAGAAGAAGGUCCAGAUGGGUGUGGUGGAGUGCACCAAACAUGAACUGCAGCAGCCAUUUAAUGUUCUCUAUGAGAAGGAGAGUGAAUUUGUUGCCCAGUUUAAAUUUACAGUCCUGCUCAUGCCCAAUGGCCCCACGUGGAUAACCAGUGGUCCCUUUGAACCUGACCUCUACAAGUCUGAGAUGGAGGUCCAGGAUGGAGAGCUGAAGGCCCUCCUCCAGAGUUCUGCAAGUCUGAAAACCCAGAAAAAGAAAAAAAAAGGAAGGCCUCCAAGACUGCAGAGAAUGCCACCAGUAGGGAAACAUUAGAAGAGAAUGAAGCUGGGGACUGAGGUAGGUCCCAUCUCCCCAGCUUGCUGCUCCUGCCUCAUGCCCCUCCCACCACACCCCAGGCUCUGUGAAGUGCAGUUCGUCUUCUCCACCCAAGACUGCCAACAGAGCAGGGUCUCCCUGCCCCCAUCCCUGUCCCCACCCAACCCCUUCCAACAACAACCAGCUCCAACUGACUCUGGUCUUGGGAGGCCAGGCUUCCUAGCCACUGAAGGCUACUUUAAAUAGAAAAGAGAAAUUGAAUAAUAAAAUCAGGAGUC